rnacentral:rRNA from 1 species
UACGUAGGUCGCAAGCGUUGUCCGGAUUUACUGGGCGUAAAGAGCGCGCAGGCGGCUGGUCAAGUCCGAUGUGAAAUCUCCCGGCUCAACUGGGAAACUGCAUCGGAAACUGAUCGGCUUGAAGAUGGGAGAGGGUAGUGGAAUUCCCGGUGUAGUGGUGAAAUGCGCAGAUAUCAGGAGGAACACCGGUGGCGAAGGCGGUUCUCUGGGCAUUACCUGACGCUGAGGAGCGAAAGUGUGGGGAGCGAACAGG